rnacentral:rRNA from 1 species
UACAGAGGUCUCAAGCGUUGUUCGGAUUCAUUGGGCGUAAAGGGUGCGUAGGUGGCGCCGUAAGUCGGGUGUGAAAUCUCCAAGCUUAACUUGGAAAUGGCAUUGGAAACUACCUUGCUUGAGGGUCGGAGGGGGGACUGGAAUACUUGGUGUAGCAGUGAAAUGCGUAGAUAUCAAGUGGAACACCAGUGGCGAAGGCGAGUCCCUGGACGACUCCUGACACUGAGGCACGAAAGCUAGGGGAGCAAACAGG